rnacentral:rRNA from 1 species
UACGGGGGGGGCAAGUGUUGUUCGGAAUUACUGGGCGUAAAGGGCUCGUAGGCGGCCAACUAAGUCGGAUGUGAAAUCCCCAGGCUUAACCUGGGAACUGCAUCCGAUACUGGAUGGCUUGAAUCCGGGAGAGGGAUGCAGAAUUCCAGGUGUAGCGGUGAAAUGCGUAGAUAUCUGGAGGAACACCGGUGGCGAAGGCGGCAUCCUGGACCGGCAUUGACGCUGAGGAGCGAAAGCCAGGGGAGCAAACGGG